rnacentral:rRNA from 1 species
GGCCGCCUACGGAUGGCAGCAGUGAGGAAUAUUGGUCAAUGGGCGGGAGCCUGAACCAGCCAAGUCGCGUGAGGGAAGACGGUCCUAUGGAUUGUAAACCUCUUUUGUCGGGGAGCAAAGAGAUCACGUGUAGUCAAAAGCGAGAGUACCCGAAGAAAAAGCAUCGGCUAACUCCGUGCCAGCAGCCGCGGUAAUACGGAGGAUGCGAGCGUUAUCCGGAUUUAUUGGGUUUAAAGGGUGCGUAGGCGGGACGGUAAGUCAGCGGUACAAAUGCGGAGCUCAACUCCGUCGAGCCGUUGAAACUG